rnacentral:rRNA from 1 species
UUAUAAGAUCCCUCGAAGAUGACGAGGUUAAUAGGUUCGAGGUGGAAGCGUGGUGACACGUGGAGCUGACGAAUACUAAUCGAUCGAAGACUUAAUCAAUUU